UACGUAGGGUCCGAGCGUUGUCCGGAAUUACUGGGCGUAAAGAGCUCGUAGGUGGUUUGUCGCGUUGUUCGUGAAAACUCACAGCUUAACUGUGGGCGUGCGGGCGAUACGGGCAGACUUGAGUACUGCAGGGGAGACUGGAAUUCCUGGUGUAGCGGUGGAAUGCGCAGAUAUCAGGAGGAACACCGAUUGCGAAGGCAGCUCGCUGGGACGUAACUGACGCUGAGACGCGAAAGCGUGGGGAGCAAACAGG
rnacentral:rRNA from 1 species